rnacentral:tRNA from 1 species
GCGCCGAUCGGAUAGUGGCUAUUCCAGGAGACUGUAAAUCUCCCGCCCAUUGGGCAUCGCAGGUUCGAGUCCUGCUCGGCGCA